rnacentral:rRNA from 1 species
CGGGUUAAGGUACCCAUAACGAGCGCAACCCCUAUCAUUAGUUGCCAUCAGGUCAAGCUGGGGACGUCUAAUGAAACUGCCUACGCAAGUAGUGAGGAAGGUGGGGGAUGACGUCAAAUCAGCACGGCCCUUACGGCCUGGGCUACACACGUGCUACAAUGGUCGGUACAAAGGGUUGCCAAGCCGCGAGGUGGAGCGAAACCCAUAAAAACAGUCUCAGUUCGGAUUGAAGUCUGCAACUCGACUUCAUGAAGUCGGAAUCGCUAGUAAUCGCGGAUUAGAACGCCGCGGUGAAUACGUUCUCGGGGUUU